rnacentral:lncRNA from 1 species
UGGCAUGGUUUUCCCAUUUUUUUUUCCAACUUUGCCCUUAUAUAAUUUUGUUGAAACCCAUUAUACCCUUUUACUCUUCUUAACCUUAUAUACUCUCUUCUUCAACUUAAUUCUCUUCUUCACUACAACAUCCAUCUCCGGCACCACCCUAGCAUUUAACAUAGCAGUAUCCUCAGAAGAAAUAAGAGGUGCUGCUACCCCAUUGACCCCUUUUAGGGUUUUUCCAUUUUCGGGGUUAGAAUUUUCCGGU